rnacentral:lncRNA from 1 species
GACCACUUGAGGUCGGGAGAUAGAGACCAGCCUGGCCAACAUGGUGAAACCCCAUCUCUACUAAAAAUACAAAAAAAAAAAAAUAGCUGGGUGUGGUGUUGGGUGCCUGUGAUCCCAGCUACUCUGGAGUCUGAGGCAGGAGAAUUCCUUGAACCUGGGAGGCAGAGGUUGCAGUGAGCCGAGAUCCUGCCAUUGCACUCCAGCCUGGGUGACAGAGUGAGACUCUGUCUCAAAAAGAAAAGAAGAGAAGAGAAAAGAAAAGAAAAAAAAAGGGAGGGAGGGGAGGGAAAGGAGGAGACCCUUGGGAACGGGGAAGUGGAGAAGCCAGGCCCCAGGGUCCUUUGGCAUGAUCAUGAAAUAUCUUUUUUCUUUGAGAAAUGCAGCCCCUGGCUCCAAUCAGCUAAUUUUCAAACCUUUGAUCCAUUGAUCCAUUGGGCAGUCUGGGCUUGCUUGGUUCUUGGUUCAGUGACAGACAGCAGAGGGUGAGAGAAAUGGCACAGGGCUGAGAGCCAUGAAGUCACUGGGCAUAGGUGAACGGUGUGACCACACCAGGCCAGGGAAGAAACACGUGCCCAGCCUGCCAUCUGCCCUCCUGUCUUGGAGCCAGGUCUUUCCACCAGCUUCCUUCAUCUUUUAACACUUGGUGAAAAGGAAUGACACGUCAGUCAAAGCCCCUGGCCGGUGCUCAUGGAGCAUCUGGCAGGAGGAAGCCCCUUCCUGGCUGGCCUCCCAUUCAUCAGUCAGCGCCGCAGGCUGGGCCAGGAAGCUGCAUUUGUUGGCCAGGAUUUGAGAUUUCUUUCACUGAGGCCUCCGGAGAGACAUUCCAACGGUGAACACAGAGCACAAACUCAAGAAAUAAAACCACAUGUACUGCCUCAAAGGCAACAAGGCAGGAGGGUGUAAAAAACCCCAGGGGGAGAUACAAAGGCUCAAAGUUCUGCAACCCACACCCCUUGGAAAGAGAGUAGGGUCAGCUCCUCUCCCACCCCAAACUCCCAGUUUGAAUUUUUUAAAAAAACAGCCUUAUAAGCAAACAUCUGCCACUCUCCGGCUUCUGAAUGAAAGGUGAAGAUCAGAAAAAGGAAUCUUUGUGUUUUCAUUAGGUAUUUUAGCAAAUGCAAUGAGGACAUUCAGAUUUGAUUUCCCUGUUUUGUACACACACAUAAGUCGGUGCUAAGAGGAUUACUUUUCCUGGAGCUGCGUCCUUCCUAAAGGCCCCCGUCAAAAGAGACCCUUGUUCAACAGUGUUUUCUCUGAUUCCUCUGGCUUUUCUUCCUUGCCUCAAUGUGCACACAUCUAGCUUGCUCCUAAAUCCACCCACCUCACAGACUUUGGGAUAACGAUGGUCCCGGCACUCCAUUCUCCUCCUGCCCGGGUUCCUUAAUAAAGCUGGAGAUGAACAUUAGUGCUUGGUUCAGCAGCAUCCGAAAGGGAAACGGUGGCCUCCUCGAGCCCUCGAUGCCCCAUAGAAAAAUGUAGCCUUUUUGCCUCUGCUCCGAUGAAUGGCUUUUCGAGGGUUUUCAUUAGGACCGGGUCUGCUGGUGCAGAAAGCCUCACAGAUGUUGACAUUUUUUCAUCCCUGGGUUAAGAUGUCUUCCAUAAGCUUUUAUUCCUCAUUUGUUACUUCUUUAUUAUCCGGGAGGUUUUGCCUCCUCCCUCUUCUCCUUUCUCUGAAGAGAGCAGCGGUAGCUGAGCCCGUCAUUAUCUCGGCCCUUUUCUCCUGCCUCCAGAGGCAGCCCGGGACUCGGGUCCCAUUGUGGCAAACAGCAGGUAGCUGAGGCAGGCCGGGUCACUCCCCAGACCCUUUUGUGCGGCCGUCCCCUCCUCCCUGCAGCUUGGUUCUGGGGAUGUAAAAGGUCAGGAGCAGCCAAGCUUCCAUACCUGAGCUUUUGUCUGGGGCUGGAGGCAAAUGAUUUUAGAAGCAAUUUCUUGGAAAGCAGCCUGGAGACUCCCGUCUCCCUCGUUAAAAUGCACAGCUGUACUCCUAGCCCACUCCUUGGGGCUGGGGGUGAGGGGACAGGGGGAUUAGCUCAGAUCAUCUGGAUCCAAAAAUGCCCUGAGAAAAAAACUUUCUACCCAGAGGAUGGUUGAGACAAUUCAAAUAGAAGCCUAGAGCCCUGAGAUGCUAAGCAGUGUUUUGUGAUAAACAGAGUGUGGUGUUCUGUCACUUUUGACUCUUCUUUGUUUUUAGUCGUAGCAGCCUGCAGCCUCCCUGCAACCUCUCUUUCCUUACCUGUCAAAUAGAAAUGAUCCACCCUCCCUACCUGCCUCACACAGUUUACUAGUUAUUCUGUGGAUCCAAGGAGGUGAUAUAGAAACUGUUUUGCAAGCCAUAAGAUUCCAUACGGCAUUCACCAUUUUUGCCCUCUGCUGGCUGUAUGGACCCUGACUUGAAUAUAAGCCAUCCCAUAAUGCAGUUAAUUUUUCUGAAAAUUAUAGAGCAGAGAUACAGGCAGAUUUAAGGGCCUUAGGGCAUGUGGUUCCAAGCCCUGCCCAAGCUUAUGCUUUGCAGGUGAGGAAGGUCUCGGGGCAAGACAGGCUUUCAUGGUGGUAAAUUCCUUGAGGUUUGAUGUAGCUCCCCUUAGAAGGCAGCUAUGGGAAGCCACCUGCAGAAAGCUGGUGUGCAGAUUUAUGUAGGGAAAGAUAAAAAGGGCCCAGGGGUGCUCACCAGCCACCAGCUUAAUAUAAGCCUUUGCAACCUGGCUGCCGGAAGAGCCAAUGGGAGCUUAAGCUGCCUACCGGAAAGAAGGGGGUCCCCCAGGCUCCACCCAGGGUGCUGAGACCUUUCUGGACAUCACAUCUGGAGAGAACUGUGCAGGUACAGAAUUCUGCUCAAGGGAAAGAGACUAGGAUCAUGAGAGGACUAGAAAUCUCACUCUUACAAACACUGGCUGGGGAAGCUGAGGCUGCUUCCCCUAUUUGAGAGUUCAGGGAUAUUCGUAGGGAAGGGGAAUCGGGCUCAUUCUGUGUAGCCCUAGGGACAGACACUGGGACUGCAGAGUGGAAGCUGAAAUGAAAGUGUUUUGAGCACAUGAGAGGAAAAUAUUUCAAAUGCCCAGAAUUUAAGAGAGAGUGAACAAUCUAUCACUAAGGGUAAUCUAGCAAAGUGGGAUACUGGGGAGAAGAUUCAUCAUCCCUGAGCAUUCAUUUAGGGCUUACUCUGUGUCAGGCCCAACAUGUCCUUUCUAAUCAUGAAAUCACUCCAUUCUUUGAUUUAUUAAGAAAUAUAACAUUCCUUUUAAACAACCAGGUCUCACAACUCACUAUCACGAUGGCAACACCAACGGGGAUGGUGCCAAACCAUUAAUGAGAAGCCAGCCCCAUGAUCCAAACACCUCCUACCAGGCCCCACCUGCAGCACUGGGGAUUACAUUUCAACAUGAGACUUGGGCAGGGAAAUAGAUCCAAACCGUAUCAACAAACAUAGGCAAAUCACAUCUAUUUUAAUAUACUAGCAAUGAAUACAUGGACAACAAAUAUAAAAUAUAAUGUAUAAUCAAGAAAAUGAAAUAUUCAGGUGUUAAUAUAACAUAUAAUCAAGAAAAUGAAAUAUUUAGGUGUAAAUAUAACUAAAGAUGUCCAGCACUUAUGUGUUGAAAACAUCAAAAUGCUAAUGAAAGAAAUCAAAGAAAAAUCUAAGUAAAUGGUUGACAUAUGAUAGUCAUGGAUAGGAAGAGUCAAAAUAGUAAUGAUGUCAAAUUUCCCCAAACUGAUAUACAGGUGCAACACAAUUCCAAUCAAAAUCUCAGCAAGAUUUCUGUAGAUGUAGACAACAAGCUUAUUCUAAAUGUAUAUGAAAAAGCAAAGGGAGUUGAAUAAGUAAAACAGUUUGGGGAAAAUAAUUUGGGAAAAGUCAUAUUACCUGAUUUUAAGACUGAUUAGAUAGCAUCAGUAACCAAGUCAGCAUGAGGAAUAGAUACAAAGAUCAAUGAAACAGAAUAGAGAACCCAGAAAUGGGUCCUAGAUAUUCUAGGUAUGAGCCCCACACAAGUAGGGCCAACUCAUUUUUGACAAAGGUGCAAAAGCAAUUCAAUGGAGAAGGGAUAGCCUUUUUAAGAAACAGUACUGGAGCAAAUAGAUAUUCUUGGGCAAAUAAGAAGAAAGAAAAAGAAAGGAACCUCAACCCCAAAAUCAUACCUGUUACAAAAAUUAAUUAAAAAUGGACCAUAGAUUUAAAUGUAAAACAUAAAACUAUAAAACUUUCAGAAGAUAACAUAAGGACAAAUCUUCAGGACCUGUGGUUUAGUGAAGAGUUCAUAGACCAAAAGCAAAAAAAAAAAAAAGACAGAAAAAAACUUUUAAGUGAUAAAUUGGACUUUAUCAACACUACAAACUUUUGCUCUAUAAAAGCCCCUCUUAAGAGGAAGAAAAGACAAGUUAUACACUGGGAGAAAAUAUUUGCAAACAGCAUAUCUGAAAAAGGACUCAUAUCAUAUCUAGAAUAUAUAAAGAAUUCUUAAAACUGAAGAGUAAAAAAAUCAAAUAAUUUAAGUAGACAAGUGGUAAAAGAUAUAUGAAGAAAAAUUUUAAUGAAGAGUAUAUAAAAAUAAAAAAUAAGCAGAUGAAAAGAUGUUAAACAUCACUAACCAAUAAAGAAAUGCAAAUAAAGACCGCAAUUAGAUAUCACCACAUAUCUAUUAGAUCAAGUAAAAUUUCAAAAUAGCCACAAUACCAAAUCAUGGCCAGGAUGUGGGGAAACUGGAUUUCUUAUACAUUGCUGUUGGUAAUGUAAAAUGAUUCAGUCACUCUGGAAAACAGCUUGAAAGUUUCUUUUAAAAUUACCAUACCUCACAGCAAUUGCACUUCUAGGUAUUUAUCCCAGAGAAAUGAAAAUGUAUGUCAACAUUAAAACCUAUACGUAAUUGUGCUAAGCCACUUCAUUUUUAUUAUCCCCAACAGGAAACAACCAAAAUGUUCUCCAACAGGUGAAUGGUGAAAUAAACGGUGGAACAUGUAUACUACAGAAAACUGCUCGGCAAUGAAAAGGAAUGAAUUAUUGAUACAUGCAAUAGUUUGAACUGAUCUCAAAGUCAUUAUGUUAAAUGAGAAAAAAAAAAGCCAAGUUCAAAAGGUGACAUACUGUAUGAUUCCACUUAUAUAACACUCUUGAAAUGACAAAAUUAUAGUGUUGGAAAACAGGUUAGUGGUUGCCAGAGGUUAGGGAUGGUUGGAGAGACGGGGAUAGGCGUGACUAUAAAGAGGCAGCACAAGAAAGAUUUUUAUGGUGAUGAAAUAAUUCUGCAUAUUGACUGUGAGGUGCUUACAAAUAUACACAUAUGAUAAGAUGACAUAGAACUAUACACACACAUUGUACCAGUGUCAAAUUCAUAGUUUUAAUAUUAUACUAUAACCAUCUAAAAUGUAACCACGGGGGGAAACUGAGUGAAGAGCACAUGGAUCCUCUUUGUACUACCUUUGUAACUUCCUGUGAACUUAUAAUUAUUUCAAAAUAAAAAGUUUAAUUAAAAAUCAGUUGCAUUUCUAUAUACAAGUAAUGAACAAUUGGGAAAUAAAGGUUUAAAAACUUCAUUUACAAAUAGUACUUAAAAAUACUUAGAAAUGAAUUUAAAGAAAGAUGUUCCAGACCUAUAACCUUAAAACUACAAAAUAUUAUUAAGGGAAAUUAAAGAAAACCUAAAUAAAUGGAGAGGCAUACCAUGUUCAUGGAUUUGAAGAUGCAAUAUUGUUAAAAGUUUUUUCUAAAAACUGACCUAUAGACUCAAUACAAUCCUCAUCAAAAUCAUAACAGACUAUUUUGGAGAAACUGAUAAAUUGAUUCUAAAAUAAUAUGAAAAAGCAAAGAGUUAAAAAUUGCCAAAAUAACUUAAAAAAUAAAAGCAAGUUUGAAGUGCUUGCAUUACCUGAUUUCAGGAUUACUAUAAAACCACAAUAAUCAAAAUUGUAUGGCAUUGGCAUGGUUAUAGAUCAGUAGAACAGAGUAGAGAGUGCAGGAAUAGACUUGCAUUUAUAUGCUCAAUUAAUUUUUUUUACAAAAGUGCCAAGACAAUUGAAUGAGGAAUGUAUAGUCUUUUUACAAAGUGGUACUGGAUAUCUUUAUGGGGACGAAUUAAGUUUUAAACCUUAUUUCACAUCAUAUGCAAAAUGAUCAAAAUAGAUAAUAGACCUAAACAUAAGAGCUAAAACAAUAAGAAUUUCUGGAAGAAAACAGCAGAAAAUCUUUGUGAUAUUGUGUUGGUAAAGAUUACCUAAACAUGACACACAAAGAUUAUCUAAACUUAACACAAACAGCAGUAAUCAUAAAAGAAAAAUAUAAUAAAAUAGAUUUCAUAAAAAUUAAAAACUUCUAUUCACUUAAGGACACAUUUAAGAAAAUGAAAAGACAAGCCAGAGACUAGGAGAAAAUAUCUGUAAAAUAUAUAUAUAGUGAAAGGCUUGUAUGCAGAAUAAUAAGAAAGCAAACAAUACAGAUUUUAAAAAUGGACAGAAUAUUUGAACAGACACUUCCCACAGAAAAUAUAUGGGCAGCCAAUAUGAACACGACUAGGCAACAAGGAAAUACAAAUCAAAACUACAAUGAAAUACCCAAUAUACCCAUUAGAAUGGGUUUUUUUUUAAACUGUCAUCGCAAGGAGUUAGUGAAGAUGUAGAAAAACUACACUCUCAAACACUGCCAGUAGAAAUGUGAAACGGUAUGGCCCCUUUGGAAAAGUGUUUGGCAGUGUUCUUAAAGUUAAACAUACACCCAUUACAUAGCCCAGAAAUUCCACUCCUAGGUACUUACCCAAGAGAAUGAAAACAUAGACUUGUAUGUGAAUGUUCACAGCAACAUUAUUCAUAACCACAUAUUCAUAAUAGCCAAACUCUGGAGGCCGGGUAUGGUGGCUCACACCUGUAAUCCCAGCACUUUGGGAGGCUGAGGUGGGUGGGUCACUUGAGCUCAGGAGAUUGAGACCAGCCUGGCCAACAUGGUGAAACCCCAUCUCUACUAAAAAUACAAAAAUUAGCUGGGCAUGGUGGCGGGCACCUGUGAUCCCAGCUACUGUGGAGGCUGAGGCAGGAGAAUCGCUUGAACCCUGGAGGUGGAGGUUGCAGUGAGCCAAGAUCAUGCCAUUGCACUUCAACCUGGGCAACAAGAGCAAAACUCUGUCUCAAAAAAUAAAUAAAUCUGGAAGCAACCCAAAUGUCCCUCAAUUGGUGAGUAGACAAACUGUGGUUAUCCUAUGAAUUACAUCAGAGCAGUUUUUCAGAUUUUUUAAUGGGCUGGGACUCAAGGCAAAAGCAAAAAUGGAAUUGAUUUAAAUAAAUAAAAAUAAAAGAUUUCAUCUUUUCUUCCCCUCUCACAAUCCCCUCAGGUCACUCUCUGACACACAAAGGAAUGGCAAAAAUGCAAUCCAACAUUGAAUCAUAAAUUACUAGACACCAGCAGCUGUGCUAGGUGCUGGGACACCAAGAGGGAUCAUACCUGGUUUCUGCCCUUGAGAAGCUCACAACGUAAACAGGGAUAGAGGUGGGUGCACAGUGAAUGCUCAUACAAAUCAGACUGCAGCGCGGCAAAGCACAAGACAGUGCUUCACUCGGCUGGGGGGAUAGUCAGUACUGACUGUGUUAGGAGUUUGAAGACUGUGGCCUCACAGAGGAGGUGACAAUGAGUAGAACCUUGAUGAGACUUUUUUUUUCUUUUGAGAGACAGGGUUUCGCUCUGUCACCCAGGCUGUGGCAGGAGUGCAGUGGCACAAUCAUAGCUCACUGCAGCCUCAAACUCCUGGCUUAAGUGAUCCUCCCACCUUAGCCUCCCUAGUAGCUAGGACUACAGGUGCACUGCCACACCUGGCUAAGUUUUUUAAUUUUUGUAGAGAUGGGAUCUUGCUGUGUUGCUCGGGCUGGUCUCAAACUCCUGGGCUCAAGCAAUCCUUCCACCUUGGCCUCUCAAAGUGCUGGGAUUGCAGGAAUGAGUCACUGUGCCCAGCCAGGAUAAGAUAAAUUAAAUAAGCAGAGAAGGUGGAGAGAUGUGGCAGAGGAAACGGCAGAGGGAACAUCCCAGCAGUGCCCCCUGUGACAUUUGGGGGAGUCAUGGGUAUUUUGAUGGGGCAGGUGCUUAGGAGCAAACUAAUGGGAAAAGAAGCAACGCAGAGCAUUUGGUCCCUGGUUUAGCUGUUUGCUGUCUGAUGUUCUCUGUGUUUGGGCAUCAGCGUCCAAGCCCUGCUUAUGCCCACUGGGCCAGUCUCUCAGGAGAGCAACAGGGUACCCUAUACCUAUUCAUUCAGAGCCAGCAGCCAGGUGAUUACUCAGCAUAAAGAAACUUCUUUUGAGCCACAUCAUCCAUGACAUUGGAUCCAAACUGCCAAGUCCACAAGGCUGCAAAAUUUCCCCAAUGUAUUCAUUUGGGUUCCAGUUAAAUGGACAAUAAUGAUCCUUUAGGAGUGUGUGGUGAAGUGUGAACACAUCCAGCACCUUCUGCUUUACAAAACACUUUCUCACCUGUUGACCAGAUGACUCUACCCAUGCUCCCACCAGUUAGGGAGGCAGAGAAAAUGUACCCCAUUUGAUAGAUGAGGAAACAGGCUAGAGUUGCCAACUAGGUUCAAGGUCGAUGUCCCCUGUCAUAGUGGCUGAAGGACAUAAACAGUGUGAAGGUCAGGGGCGGGAGAAGAAGUGAUUUAUUGACCAGGUCUCCAUCCAGCCUUUUUGGGAUAUGACUCUUUCAGCAGAAUGUCAAAAAGUCUAAUUUUCUGUGGACUCCAGAAAAGUUGAUUUUGAUCAGAUCAACAAGCCACCUCAGAGUGUUGAACUCAUACCCUCUGGCUUUUUCUGCUAAUGACUAUGAAAUUCACAUUCAGUGAUGAACCUCUUCUCAGGAUGGAAUGCUUUUAUAGUAAUGCCAAUUAAUAACUUUCUUCUUCUCCUAGCCCUCUUUGUGAUGUUGAAUCACAGGGCAUAGAUGCUGGCAGGGCUUUAGAGGCACUAGUAAUGUGGUUUUUAAAUUUUUUUCAUUGACUGAUCAGCAUCUUUCAUCUCCUUGGUUCAUAACCUGUGAAGUAGGCAACAGCCUGGAUCAUUAUCCCCAUCUUAUACGCGAAAUAACCAAGAAAAAAAGCGGCUAAGCCACUUACCCAAGUUGUAGAGCUAGGUCUAGAACAUGUCUUAUGACUCCCAAACAAUGCUCAAUCUACUACAUCAAACUUCCUUUCUCUUCCACCCUGCAGAUUAGAUGCAAAUUACUACAUGCUUGAGCUUCACCGAGAAGGAAACCAGCUCAGAGAGGAGUAGAGGUCUGGCCUUCAUGGCAGUGUGGGAGAGCUCCUUGACUCUUACCCUCCCUCCAGAGACAGAAACAGUUUCCCUUCAAACCAUCAUGAGGAUUGUUGCACGCCAGCUCUGUCUUAACUUAAAUAUGACUCCAGGUCAAUAUCAAAAGGAAGGUGACAGUGUCCACCUACCCAUUCCCCAGUAGCUGGCCACAUUGUGCCGUCCUAGCCACAGCUGAGCCUGCUCCAGGCCAUUCUCUUGAAACACAUACUAGCAUCCUCCCCCGAGCCCAGCUUCCACUGACAGGCAGGCUCUGAAUCCAGCAGGCUGCUGCCUGAAGCAGCUCCCAGCAGGAGCUAGAUGGAGGCCGGCAAGGUUACAGGUGCUUUUCAUCCAGCCUCACAGGAGAGCACCAACUUCCUGCUGCUAGAAAUUUGUCUGCAAAUUUUUGUCUUCAUUCAAAUCGAUGGAUAGAAGCCGGGAGACACUGGGGUGAUAUGAUAACUUGAUUAAGCCCCAGAACAGAUGACACGGUAGCUUAAAGGCCAUGUGCUCUCCUCCUUAACCUCUCCCAGGGAGACCGCAGGCUUUGCUAGUAAUUGGCCCAUUGUCCUUCCACUGCGAUUCCUGCACAAGCCGGGAAUCGCCUGGCUAGGGGCUCCUCUCUGGGGCAGCCUUAAAUACUCUCAGACCAGUCAGGCCUAGGGAACUGUGAAAAAUACCUGUGCAAUGGAACAUACCAGAGUCACAUUCUGAGAAGCUAAAAAUGACCCUUACUGAAAACAAUGACCUAGGAUAUUCUCCCAUCCUCAAGCACAACUGUAAAUUGCAACACACACAGGGAUGAAAGCCCAAGACUGUUAAAAGGUGUUCAAACUUUUAGAAUAUUCCGUUCUUUUGGGGGAAAAUCCCCCUGACCUUUCAUUUUUGUCGAGGUUGGUGUCUCCUGCUGGAUUACCCAUUAUUGAGAAUGUUUUUGAUCAACCACUUCCAGAUACUCUGGCAUUCACUGGUGUGAGCCCGUCUUGGGUGAGCUAAGGUGGAUACCUGUGUAUAUCAUUGCCUCUGGAAAAGAGAUAGGUGGGUUCCAAGCCAGAAAGAAGAGUGCUAAAUAGAAGAUAUAAGUAGAGCUGGGCGUGGGGUCGUGAACAGUGGCUCAGGCCUGUAAUCUCAGCACUUUGGGAGGCUGAGGCGGGCAGAUCACCUGAGGUCAGGAGUUGGAGACUGGCCUGGCCAACAUGCCAAAACCUCGUCUCUACUUUAAAAAAAAAAAAAAGGGCCGGGCACAGUGGCUCACGCCUGUAAUCCCAGCACUUUGGGAGGCCAAGGCGGGCGGAUCCCGAGGUCAGGAGGUCGAGACCAUCCUGGCUAACAUGCUGAAACCUCGUCUCUACUAAAAAUACAAAAAAAAAAAAAAAAUUAGCCAGGCGUGGUGGCGGGCGCCUGUAGUGCCAGCUACUCGGGAGGCUGAGGCAGGAGAAUGGCGUGAACCCGGGAGACGGAGCUUGCAGUGAGCGCGGCACUGCACUCCAUUCAGCCUGGUCGACAGAGCGGGACUCCGUUUCAAAAAAAAAAAAAAAAAAGUAGCCGGGUGUGGUGGCGGACGCCUGUAAUCCCAGCUACUUGGGAGGUUGAGGCAGGAGAAUCGCUUGCACCUGGGAGGCGUAGGCUUCGGAAAGAGGAGGCUUCAGUGAGCCGAGACCGCAUCACUGCACUCCAGCCUGGGCGACAAAGCGAGACUCCAUCUAAAAAAAAAAAAAAAAGAUGUAAGUAGAUAUUUGCUGUGAUGAUAGUUUUGCAUUCUAUUUUAAAAUCUUCUGUCAGUCUUUGUUCAGUGAUAGACUUAAGACAUUUAAGAGCUGAGAGGGAGCGGAACACGAAUCCCCUCAACCCAUUUUUUUUUAGGAAUAUAUGAGAGGAAUAAAAUUCGCUACUGUCUGCUCAAAGUUUGAGUUGGACCCUUGCUGGGGAAUGUGAAAAACAAAGCUGUUGGUGACGCUUUGAAAAUCAGCAAGGUGUACUAUUAAAGGUUAAAUAAAUGCUAUUUUAAAUUCUCAUUCAUUAUGAUUUAUUGCUCAAGUCUCCCUAUGAGAAAGAG